GGAAUAUUGGUCAUUUGAUGCAAGUCUGAACCAGCCAUGCCGCGUGCAGGAAGAAGGCCUUCUGGGUUGUAAACUGCUUUUGCCAGGGGAUAAAAAUUCCAUGCGUGGAAGAUUGCAGGUACCUGGCGAAUAAGCCACGGAUAACUACGUGGCAGCAGCCGCGGUAAUACGUAGGUGGCAAGCGUUGUCCGGAUUUAUUGGGUUUAAAGGGUGCGUAGGCGGUUUUGUAAGUCAGUGGUGAAAUAUAGCAGCUUAACUGUUAGGGUGCCAUUGAUACUGCAGAACUUGAGUACAGAUGAGGUAGGCGGAAUUGACGGUGUAGCGGUGAAAUGCUUAGAUAUCGUCAAGAACACCUAUAGCGAAGGCAGCUUACUAGGCUGUAACUGACGCUGAGGCACGAAAGUGUGGGGAUCAAAC
rnacentral:rRNA from 1 species